rnacentral:rRNA from 1 species
AGCGAACGCUUGCGGCAGGCCUAACACAUGUAAGUCGAACGAAGCCUUCGGGCUUAGUGGCGGACGGGUGAGUAACACGUGGGAACGUACCUUUUGGUUCGGAAUAACGCAGAGAAAUUUGCGCUAAUACCGAAUGAGCCCUUAGGGGGAAAGAUUUAUCGCCGAAAGAUCGGCCCGCGUUGGAUUAGGUAGUUGGUGUGGUAAAGGCGCACCAAGCCUACGAUCCAUAGCUGGUCUGAGAGGAUGAUCAGCCACACUGGGACUGAGACACGGCCCAGACUCCUACGGGAGGCAGCAGUGGGGAAUCUUGCGCAAUGGGCGAAAGCCUGACGCAGCCAUGCCGCGUGAAUGAUGAAGGUCUUAGGAUUGUAAAAUUCUUUUACCAGGGACGAUAAUGACGGUACCUGGAGAAAAAGCCCCGGCUAACUUCGUGCCAGCCGCCGCCGUAAAAC